rnacentral:rRNA from 1 species
UACGGAGGGUGCAAGCGUUAUCCGGAAUCACUGGGUUUAAAGGGUGCGUAGGCGGUCCUUUAAGUCAGUCGUGAAAUGCACCGGCUCAACCGGUAACCUGCGAUUGAUACUAUUGGACUUGAAUCAAGUUGAGGUAGGCGGAAUGUGACAUGUAGCGGUGAAAUGCUUAGAUAUGUCAUAGAACACCGAUUGCGAAGGCAGCUUGCUGGGCUUCGAUUGACGCUGAGGCACGAAAGCGUGGGGAGCAAACAGG